rnacentral:tRNA from 1 species
GGAAGCGCUUGGUACGCUGGCGCGGCCCUCGGUCUUCAAAACCGAUGGGGCCUCGGUGAACCCGGGGUCCGGUGGGUUCGAUUCCCAUGCGCUUCCG